GAUGAAGAACGCAGCGAAAAGCGAUAAGUAAUGUGAAUUACAGAAUUCAGUGAAUCAUCGAGUUUUUGAACGCAUAUUGCGCCCUCUGGUAUUCCGGGGGGCAUGCCUGUUCGAGCGUCAUUAAAUAACCCUCAAGCAUAGCUUGGUGUUGGGCUUUUUUACGUCCUUGACUGGGAUGGGCCUAAAAAUUAGUGGCGAUGGCUUUUUUACUUUCAAGCGUAGUAAAUCUCGUCUUGCUAAAGAGGAAAAAGAUUUUUUUUCUGCCAAAAAUUUUAACAUUUAAAGUUGACCUCGGAUCAGGUAGGAUUACCCGCUGAACUUAAGCAUAUCAAUAAGCGGAGGA
rnacentral:misc_RNA from 1 species